rnacentral:rRNA from 1 species
AGAGUUUGAUCAUGGCUCAGAACGAACGCUGGCGGCAGGCCUAACACAUGCAAGUCGAACGAGAAGCCACCUUCGGGUGGUGGACAGUGGCAGACGGGUGAGUAACGCGUGGGAACGUGCCUUUCGGUUCGGAAUAACCCAGGGAAACUUGGGCUAAUACCGGAUGCGCCCUUCGGGGGAAAGAUUCAUUGCCGAAAGAUCGGCCCGCGUCGGAUUAGCUGGUUGGUGGGGUAAUGGCUCACCAAGGCGACGAUCCGUAGCUGGUCUGAGAGGAUGACCAGCCACACUGGGACUGAGACACGGCCCAGACUCCUACGGGAGGCAGCAGUGGGGAAUAUUGGACAAUGGGCGAAAGCCUGAUCCAGCCAUGCCGCGUGGGUGAAGAAGGCCUUAGGGUUGUAAAGCUCUUUCAGCGGGGAAGAUAAUGACGGUACCCGCAGAAGAAGUCCCGGCUAACUUCGUGCCAGCAGCCGCGGUAAUAC